rnacentral:rRNA from 1 species
GAUUCCCUUAGUAACGGCGAGUGAAGCGGGAUGAGCCCAGCACCGAAUCCUCAGUCCUGACGGGCUGCGGGAACUGUGGUGUUAAGGACAGCACAUGGGGAUCGUUCGGGAGUCCGAGUCCUCCUGAUCGGGGCUUCACCCAGAGCGGGUGUCAGGCCUCUACGGCGCCCGGCCGGUCCUCUCGUGUCGUCCUAGGAGUCGGGUUGUUUGAGAUUGCAGCCCAAAGUGGGUGGUAAACUCCAUCUAAGGCUAAAUACAGACACGAGUCCGAUAGCGCACAAGUACCGUGAGGGAAAGUU